rnacentral:rRNA from 1 species
CGAAGAGUAGGGCGGGACACGUGGUAUCCUGUCUGAAUAUGGGGGGACCAUCCUCCAAGGCUAAAUACUCCUGACUGACCGAUAGUGAACCAGUACCGUGAGGGAAAGGCGAAAAGAACCCCGGCGAGGGGAGUGAAAAAGAACCUGAAACCGUGUACGUACAAGCAGUGGGAGCACCUUCGGGUGUGACUGCGUACCUUUUGUAUAAUGGGUCAGCGACUUAUAUUCUGUAGCAAGGUUAACCGUAUAGGGGAGCCGCAGGGAAACCGAGUCUUAACUGGGCGUUAAGUUGCAGGGUAUAGACCCGAAACCCGGUGAUCUAGCCAUGGGCAGGUUGAAGGUUGGGUAACACUAACUGGAGGACCGAACCGACUAAUGUUGAAAAAUUAGCGGAUGACUUGUGGCUGGGGGUGAAAGGCCAAUCAAACCGGGAGAUAGCUGGUUCUCCCCGAAAGCUAUUUAGGUAGCGCCUCGUGAACUCAUCUUCGGGGGUAGAGCACUGUUUCGGCUAGGGGGUCAUCCCGACUUACCAACCCGAUGCAAACUACGAAUACCGAAGAAUGUUAUCACGGGAGACACACGGCGGGUGCUAACGUCCGUCGUGAAGAGGGAAACAACCCAGACCGCCAGCUAAGGUCCCAAAGUCAUGGUUAAGUGGGAAACGAUGUGGGAAGGCACAGACAGCCAGGAUGUUGGCUUAGAAGCAGCCAUCAUUUAAAGAAAGCGUAAUAGCUCACUGGUCGAGUCGGCCUGCGCGGAAGAUGUAACGGGGCUAAACCAUGCACCGAAGCUGCGGCAGCGACACUAUGUGUUGUUGGGUAGGGGAGCG